CCUACGGGAGGCAGCAGUGGGGAAUAUUGCGCAAUGGGCGAAAGCCUGACGCAGCGACGCCGCGUGAGGGAUGAAGGUCUUCGGAUCGUAAACCUCUGUCAGCAGGGAAGAACGGUCACUGUGCUAAUCAGCAGUGAAUUGACGGUACCUGCAAAGGAAGCACCGGCUAACUCCGUGCCAGCAGCCGCGGUAAUACGGAGGGUGCGAGCGUUAAUCGGAAUUACGGGGCGUAAAGCGCUCGUAGGCGGUAUGUCAAGUCAAGGGUGAAAUCCCCGCGCUCAACGUGGGAACUGCCUUUGAAACUGGGAAACUGGAGUGUGUGAGAGGCAAGUGGAAUUCCAGGUGUAGGAGUGAAAUCCGUAGAUAUCUGGAGGAACAUCAGUGGCGAAGGCGACUCUCUGGAACAUAACUGACGCUGAGGAGCGAAAGCGUGGGUAGCAAACAGGAUUAGAUACCCUUGUAGUC
rnacentral:rRNA from 1 species